AUACUUACCUGCAGACUUCAACGGCGGCUCACGAAACGUUGUUGGAUACCUCAGUCACUUCGCAUUGCACGGCGACUCAAACCCAUAGUCCCACGAAGUAACUGGGGUAGAAGUUCUCCUUUGGGGGAUUUCAUCUGGAAAUAUUUCCUUUGGUCUUGUUGGCUUCGGCCCUCGAGACCC
rnacentral:snRNA from 1 species